AGGGCACCCGAUUGGGUGAGAACCCUAGCCGCCAUCCCCAUCGCGUCCCUCUCCUUCGCAGCCGCCGCUCGCUCCCGUCUGGUUCUCCUCUCCCACCGCCCGGUCGCCGUGCUCCUCUCCGCCGCCCGGUCGCCGUGCCCACGCUGCUUAGCCUCUGCCACCCCAUCAGAGUCGCCUCCUACGUCGAGCCGAGGGGAGUUAUCUGCGCCGCCUCCUACGUCGAGCGCGCCGCCGCGGUGGACGGUGUCACCAGAAAGGAGUCAGGUCUCGCUGCUGGGACAGAGCAAUCAAUCAACAAAACGCCUGAUUCGAUUCGAUUCGAGGGAAGGGGAAAAAACAGGUUGAUCGAUUUGAGGAGCGAACGUUCACGAGACUGCUCGUCGCCCCUCACGAGACUGCUCUUCCUUUCAACUGAGAACUGUUGAAUAUUGAUUCCAUCUGCCAGUACUAUUUGUUUACCUCAUUUCAGUUCUUCUACAACACUGCUCAAUACUACAGGGCUUACUACAGAUAUAAAACGGAUACUCAUUCUGUGUUGAUUGGCCUUCUUCUAAUUGUGCAAGCAUUCCAAUACAUAAACCAGUUGACAUCAUAUAGUCAGUGUUGGGGCCGCACCAGCGGUCAUGUCCUUCAGGUCGACGGCAAGGGAGGAGCAGCAGGGCGAGCUCGCGUUCCCCAAGCAGCAGGCCUCUCAUGUCCUGACUCCACAGAGAUUGUUUGGUGCUGAGAACCAUGGCAGCGUGCAGUACGCCACCGCCCGCGCCGCUUAAGGCAUACAAUCUCCACACCAGCAUGCUCCUAAUGGUGCUAGGAUGAUUCCAACGGGGUCGCUUUUCAAUGCCAACAAUUCGAUGUUCAGGGUUCAGAGUUCGCCUAACCUCCCCAAUGGUGUUGAUGCUGGUAUCCCGUUCAAAUCAACCACCUAUUAGGGAUGAACAAUGCGGUGGCUGCUUCGACCGUUGGUGUCUAAAUCAAGGGACAUGCCAAAGCCAAAUACCGCGCAAUUAACUAUCUUCUAGGCUGGUUCUGUCAAUGUAUUCAACGUCUCAGCAGAAAAGGUACUAAUACAGUACAAUUUUUCUUAUUGGUAAUGCAUUUUCAUGUCGUUUAGGUUUGCUGCCCUUGCUAUCAAUGAAAUCUUCAGUUCCCUUACUUCAACUCAUGUGACCUGCUUUCUUUUCUUUUCCAUGCAAGCUACAAGUUACUGUUACAUACAUCCAUUUUUACUUUUUCUUAAAUGUAUUUAUUUGAAGGCACACCUUUAGUUAUUACUCCCUCCAUUCCCUUAUACAAGGCCACAAACUCAUAUUACAGGUAUCAAGGUAAAAUUUAAUGACUACUUUGCAAGCCAAUUUUUCUUCUCGUUAACCGGGAUCAUUAAUAUGUCUGCAUGCAUGCAAGGAAGGAAUAAGAAGGAAGUAGCAUAGUGUCAUUAAGACUACAUGCAUGCAAGUAUUAAAUAAGUUGCUAGUACGAGGAAACAUCAUUAAUUUUUACCUCGAUUACUGUUAGUGGCCUUGUAGACUAGCCACAAUGGAGAGUAACAUACACUAGUAACA